CUACGGGAUGCAGCAGUGAGGGAUAUUGCACAAUGGGGGGAACCCUGAUGCAGCAACGCCGCGUGGAGGAUGACGCAUUUCGGUGUGUAAACUCCUUUUAUAUGUCAAGAAAAUGACGGUAGCAUAUGAAUAAGCACCGGCUAACUCCGUGCCAGCAGCCGCGGUAAUACGGAGGGUGCAAGCGUUACUCGGAAUCACUGGGCGUAAAGGACGCGUAGGCGGGUUGGAAAGUCAGGUGUGAAAUCCUACAGCUUAACUGUAGAACUGCACUUGAAACUUCUAAUCGAGAGUAUGGGAGGGGGAGAUGGAAUUCGUGGUGUAGGGGUAAAAUCCGUAGAUAUCACUAGGAAUACCUAAAGCGAAGGCGAUCUCCUGGAACAUUACUGACGCUAAGGCGUGAAAGCGUGGGGAGCAAACAGGAUUAGAUACCCCUGUAGUC
rnacentral:rRNA from 1 species